UACGGGGGGGGCAAGCGUUGUUCGGAAUUACUGGGCGUAAAGGGCUCGUAGGCGGCCAACUAAGUCGGAUGUGAAAUCCCCAGGCUCAACCUGGGAACUGCAUCCGAUACUGGAUGGCUUGAAUUCGGGGAGAGGGAUGCAGAAUUCCAGGUGUAGCGGUGAAAUGCGUAGAUAUCUGGAGGAAUACCGGUGGCGAAGGCGGCAUCCUGGACCGACAUUGACGCUGAGGAGCGAAAGCCAGGGGAGCAAACGGG
rnacentral:rRNA from 1 species